AUAUCACACAUUUCCAACGGGUGCAGUUGUCUUCAUAGCCCUGGUUGGAUAUGACGUGAAUUGUUCAAGUGAGUGUGUGUCGUUCAGAAUCUACGUGUAGCUCCAAGACUGAAAAGGGGAGAUAAAAAAAUACUCAAUAUCCUACCAAAGGCGCAAUUUAAUAUUCAACAGUGAAUGACUGAAGUGCAAAAAACUGUGAAAACCAUUUUCUUCCUGGCCGUGCGAAUAAAGAGAGUGCACGAGUGAAAAGUGGAAGUAAAAUUCAUAACAGCCAGGAGGUUAACAGUUCGCACUGCCAACGAUUUACAACAUCGCACAGAUUUGCACAUAUUCACACAAUCCGCAUUAUUAACAUGACCCACGGAGUUGCUGUGCUCUAAUAAAUAACUCAGCUGAUUACAUUUGGCAUAAAACCCGUGAAAUCAAACACCCGCCAAUCUAUCCACCCACUUCAAUUUCAAUUUCCCCGCGCUACCGAAUAUGAGCUGAGAGAUUGGGUGCAGAAUUCGGGGUGCAUAGACACAAGCCAGCGAGCUUGGUGGGUGCAGGGGUGAGUUCUGGAGCACUGAGCGCCAAUGCGCUAUCAAACCUUCUCUCCGACGAUUGCCAAGGAGUCAAUCACUGAACA